UUCCGUAGGUGUCUUUUCCAGGCUCGCCUACGUGCUCGCGGUCGACUUUAAAAAACCGCGCAGUUGAUCGCUUCGGCGGUUGGCCACGCAGGUCUUCUGAUCUGGAAGCCAUUCGGAAUUAUCGCCGAAGAGCAACCAGCAGCUCUAGGAUCGUCUUUCAGGCGCCCCCAAGAGUUCACAGAUCAUAUGCCUGCGACCACGACGAUAUCGUGGCUCUGAUAUGACCGAACCCCACCAGCAAUGGUCGGCGGAGUCGCGGAACCUGCGGAAGGAUCAUUAU
rnacentral:rRNA from 1 species